rnacentral:lncRNA from 1 species
CAUUGCUGGGAGGUUUCUGCCAGGCUUGGAGCUCCACCAGUCCACGCUCUGCUCUAAGCCGGAGCUGGUGCCAGACAGCUUCUGGGCAGCCAGAGCACAAGGAGAAAAUCCCAGAAUUGUAAAGGUCAGCCCCUCGAGUCACCCAGCCAAUGCUGGCAAGAUGUUAGCCAUCUCAAGGCUAUUGCACUUUUUUCCUUUUUUUUUUUUCUCCAAUUCUCAGAUAUUGUAACAGAAAUAGAAACUGAGCCACUCUACAACAGCAAGCAGUGUCCCAUCAUAAAAGCACCAGAUGCACAGGAAUUUCUGUGGGCAAUGGCAAGAAGGAUGCACAAUUUUGGAGAACAGAGAAAUACCAGUACUGUCUUCCCUUGAUGUCACUCCAUCAUUCCCACAUCAUUGCCUGCUUUGUACCAGCAACGUCCCUGAUAAUCCUCUCCCCAAGAAGCAAUUCCUUCUCCUCAGCACUGCAAGCAGCGCUUUUCAACUGUGGCAGCAUCCCGUAACCAAGCAACAAGCAGCAUCCCCAAACAAGAAAUCCAGGUGUGCAGGAGAAAGCCCUGGCUGUGUGUGUUAUAGUGCAAUCCAGUGAAAAUUGCUGCAUCACGCUUACUUCUCCUUCGUGCUGUGGUGGACCUCCCUGGGGCUGUGCCAGGCUGGCUCGACCAGCGCCAGUGUGGCUGAGAUGGAGAAGAGGCAGACUUCCCAAUGAGGGCAAGAAAGAAAUCCUGCCUGGCGAGGAACUUCAGCGACGAGGGCUUUCAACAGGAGAUGCUCUGUGGUGAUCAUCCUGCUCAACACUCGCAGAGACCAGGCACCGACACCAGAACCGCGCCGGGGCUGUCCUGCAAGCGCUGGUGGCAUCACCUCACAGCUGGGGCUGCAGCCUCCCUCCAGGAUCGUGCCACACCAGCAGUUACAGGUUCAGCGCUGCAGCUGCCCUGCAGAAGUUGGUGGGACUCGAGAGCGGUCACUGAAGUUUUGUGGAAAUGUUCGGUGGAGAUUUUUGUGGCAGGUGUGAAAGCGAGCUGCCUUGCAGCUAAGCUGGUGCAGCCUAGAGAAAACAACUGGGAGGUGUCAUCUCUGGGAGCAGAGAGAGCAGCAAAUGGGCUGUGUGAAGGACAGAGAAAAAAGAAAGAAAGACCUCUUGCAAAUGAGGUGCCAACAGAAAAUGUACUUUGGCAGCUGGAAAGGUGUAAUGAAAGCCUAGGCAAAAUAUAG